rnacentral:pre_miRNA from 2 species
GAGGCAGGGGUGAGGGGCUGCGGGCGGAGGCUGCGGCUGCUGCUUCUCCUGGCUCUCCUCCCUCUCUUU